AGCAAUUCUUUGCUCAACGCCACACUCACAACAACAGAAUCUCUCAACAACCUUUACUCACUCUGAAAAGCCAACCAAUUACAACUCAAAACAGACUUUCAAGAAAUUAAUGCUUUGGCUCAAGGUUUUGAGAGAGAGAGAGAAUGAAAAAUGCUGUAAUCUCAAUAAAUAUUUGCUUAGAUGGUUGUUGUAACCUCUUCACAUCAAAAACUCAUUGUAUUUAUAGUUCAGUCAUAAAUAUGGCCGUUGGG
rnacentral:lncRNA from 1 species